ACGUACGCGGCGGAUAAACCGGAGGAAGGUGGGGAUGACGUCAAGUCAUCAUGCCCCUUAUGACCUGGGCUACACACGUGCUACAAUGGUUGGUACAACGAGUUGCGAGUCGGUGACGGCGAGCUAAUCUCUUAAAGCCAAUCUCAGUUCGGAUUGUAGGCUGCAACUCGCCUACAUGAAGUCGGAAUCGCUAGUAAUCGCGGAUCAGCACGCCGCGGUGAAUACGUUCCCGGGCCUU
rnacentral:rRNA from 1 species